CAAAACAUUUUUAAAGACUCAAUAGAAUAGUCAACACGAACCAUCGUUCGCAAUUUCAAAUAAUAGUCAUCUCAUAUACCUUUCGGAUGUCCCUGUGGAUUAUAUCAAAAUGAAUCUUUGAAAUCAUGUGUACACAUUAAUAUAGAUGAAUCAAAACAUAAGUUAUGGGAAUCAAAAAUCAAUAGCCAUCCUAGUGGCUCUAGGAAUAGGAGUUUCUUUUGGAAUCGUAUAUAUAUCGUAUAUUCAUUUCACAACGAUCAUGCCAAAAAGAAAGAAGGGUUAGCUUCACAUACCUUUAGCGUUUAUUCGUCACACAAUAUGUAUACGCUGCCCAAUAAUACUUCAACCUAUAUUAAGAUUCCAACAACUACGUUUAAGUUACGGGGAGAUUCAAAACGUAUUCUAACGUUAGUAACUCCUUUCUAGAGGUUUAGGCGACGUUUACUCAUGUAUCCAAACCAAGUACAUAUAACCAGCCCAACAUCAAUAAUUAUAUGUUCAAUAUCAAUCCGGACAGCCCACACAAUAUUCCAAACAACCCACAUUCACAACAUGCAAUAACGAUUCACAUACGGCUACUACAUUCUCAAGUUACUUCUAAUAGUUCGUAGCCUUAACGUUUGCAUGUAACAACUUAUAACAGCCCAUCCAACAUACAAUACAAAGCAUAAUCUUAAUUAUCAUUAAUCUUCCAAGUUCAAUAACAACAACGUGUCAAUACAGCCCGCACCUUACAACGCUAGAUAAUAGUGUACAUGCGAUUAUGACACAUCCAAUUUAUUCUUGUUAAUCUAUAGUCAUAUUAUUUCGUCGAAACGAUUCUAUAAUAGCGCAACCACUAUAACAACAUGAUGUAUACUCUUAACUAUAAUUAUUUUUUCCAACUUGAUGAAAACAACAAGUCCAAAACAGUCCAUUACCACAACAUAUCCAAAACAGUCCAACAACAUGUCCAAAACAGUCCCUAAACAAUGUUCGGAAUUCUUGCAAACGUUUACGAACAUACUAAGCAAACCACAUAUGAUUCUUACACAUUAUUUCAUGUCUUCUUUUCAUAUAAUUUCAGUAGGUUAUGACCAGCUAUCCACACGACAAGUACAACAUCAAUUCAUACGCAACUAAGCUACAUCGUCAUUUCUACAAUUCUUACAACAACUCACAAACGACUUUAGUUUCAACUCCAACCAUUAAACACCUUCAUUCCAUCAUAAAAUUCAUGAUAAUAACAAUCAAAAUAUCAUGUAAAAAUAGUUCACUAACUUCCUCACAAAACAGUCCACAAACGGUUUCAACAUGCUUCAACAUCACUCACAUAAAAUCAUAGAUUCACUUUAUUUUCAUACUAACACAACUUCUGUUAUAUCCCGUAAUUUUAUACGUCGAGUUAUUCGCAAGAGAAUCGGCUCAAGUUAAAGACGGGAUCAUUUUCGGGCACGAAACAGAAAUCUUUAAUUUCCGGUCUCUAUUAGAAAAUGAAUUGCUUAUGAAUUUUACUUAGUGUAAAAAUAUUAAUGGAAAGUUGGGAUUAAUUUACCAUGAUUAGAUUAUUAAGUGGGGAUUAGUGAUUAAUUAAUCUAAUUAUCGAAAAGUUGGCCCCACAACACGUGGCGAGAUUUGGUUGGACUUGAAUAAAGAUGGACACAUGUCAUGAAAAUUGACACAUGUCCACUUUGUAAAGAUAAUAUAUAAGUAUAAGUGGAUGACUAAGUCAUCACAUAUUCCACAAAUUAAUCUUGCAAAUUAGGUUUUAGAGAGAAGGGCUCUCAAGCCUAGAGAGAGGAAGAAGUUCCCGCGCCACUAUUCACGGGCGGCGUUACUGUUCACGGCGCACUAUUCACGGCGGCGCUACUGUUCACGCCGCCACUGUUCACGGGUACUGUUCACGGCCAGCCCAUUUUUGCCCCCUUCUACACAAUUAAUUGGAGAGAUUUGAAGAUUAAGAGGAGGAAAAAGAUGGAGCUCAUGGUAGCCAUGGCUUUCUUGAAGACAUUUCAUGGUGAAAAAUUAGAGCUUGUCUCUAAGGCCUUGGGGAGCCCGAGGCGUAGGUUGGGAUUAACUUUAGUUGGGCAAACUUGGAGCGCGUACGAGGUACAGACGCACAGUUUGGUGAUCUACCCAUUUAGGACACCCUCUUCUGCUGUUUGGAGUGCUCUUCUCAUUUCAGAGCACACAUUUUGGUAUAUAUUCGUUCGCUAUGUAUAUAUGUAUUUGUUCAGGGGCACGGCGGGGCCCUGUCCCGCCAUAUGAUUCGGUUUGUCUGUUUAGAGGUCUGUAGACGUAUUUGUGGGUGUGUGUGCCUACUUCUGUACGGAUGUGUUUGCAUGACUCUAUUCGUUAUGGCAGCCUCGUCGGCGUGCAUUUUGUAUAUGUUGUGGCAGCCUUGUCGGCGUGCAUUUGUAUAUGCGUUUUGGGCCGUUGUGCCAUUUGACAGCCUUGUCGGCUUUUGACAUAUUUGAUAGCCUUGCCGGCUUUUUGACAUCUAUACAUAUAUAUCCGCAUACGGUUGCGUUGA